GGUCAGGAUGAACGCUAGCGGCAGGCUUAACACAUGCAAGUCGAGGGGCAGCGGGAUGUAGCAAUACAUUACCGGCGACCGGCGGAUGGGUGCGUAACGCGUAUGCAACCUACCUUAUACAGGGGAAUAACCUUUCGAAAGGGAGACUAACACCCCAUGGUAUUGAUUUAAGGCAUCUUAGAUUAAUUAAAUAUUUAUAGGUAUAAGAUGGGCAUGCGUAUGAUUAGCUAGUUGGUAAGGUAACGGCUUACCAAGGCGACGAUCAUUAGGGGUUCUGAGAGGAAGGUCCCCCACACUGGUACUGAGACACGGACCAGACUCCUACGGGAGGCAGCAGUGAGGAAUAUUGGUCAAUGGGCGCAAGCCUGAACCAGCCAUGCCGCGUGCAAGGAAGACGGCCUUAUGGGUUGUAAACUGCUUUUACAUAAGACUAACCGUAUAUUUGCGAAUAUACCUGAAUGUAUUAUGAGAAUAAGGAUCGGCUAACUCCGUGCCAGCCGCCGC
rnacentral:rRNA from 1 species